UGGGGAAUAUUGGGCAAUGGGCGCAAGCCUGACCCAGCAACGCCGCGUGAAGGAAGAAGGCUUUCGGGUUGUAAACUUCUUUUCUGAGGGACGAAGAAAGUGACGGUACCUCAGGAAUAAGCCACGGCUAACUACGUGCCAGCAGCCGCGGUAAUACGUAGGUGGCAAGCGUUAUCCGGAUUUAUUGGGUGUAAAGGGCGUGUAGGCGGGAGUGCAAGUCAGAUGUGAAAACUAUGGGCUCAACCCAUAGCCUGCAUUUGAAACUGUACUUCUUGGGUGCUGGAGAGGCAAUCGGAAUUCCGUGUGUAGCGGUGAAAUGCGUAGAUAUACGGAGGAACACCAGUGGCGAAGGCGGAUUGCUGGACAGUAACUGACGCUGAGGCGCGAAAGCGUGGGGAGCAAACAGGAUUAGAUACCC
rnacentral:rRNA from 1 species